AUUGAACGCUGGCGGCAGGCUUAACACAUGCAAGUCGAGCGGAGUGAUGGUGCUUGCACUAUCACUUAGCGGCGGACGGGUGAGUAAUGCUUAGGAAUCUGCCAUUUAGUGGGGGACAACAUUCCGAAAGGAAUGCUAAUACCGCAUACGUCCUACGGGAGAAAGCAGGGGAUCUUCGGACCUUGCGCUAAAUGAUGAGCCUAAGUCGGAUUAGCUAGUUGGUGGGGUAAAGGCCUACCAAGGACGAUCUGUAGCGGGUCUGAGAGGAUGAUCCGCCACACUGGGACUGAGACACGGCCCAGACUCCUACGGGAGGCAGCAGUGGGGAAUAUUGGACAAUGGGCGGAAGCCUGAUCCAGCCAUGCCGCGUGUGUGAAGAAGGCCUUUUGGUUGUAAAGCACUUUAAGCGAGGAGGAGGCUACUAGUACUAAUACUACUGGAUAGUGGACGUUACUCGCAGAAUAAGCACCGGCUAACUCUGUGCCAGCCGCCGCCGUAACAC
rnacentral:rRNA from 1 species